rnacentral:snoRNA from 1 species
UGAUGACAUUCUCCGGAAUCGCUGCACUGCGUUGAUGAAAGCGCACUUGAACCCUUUUCCAUCUGACACUGAGCAUUUCGC